rnacentral:lncRNA from 1 species
CCUGACAGGCUCUCCUUCGCAUUUGCGCGGGACAGAAAUGACUUGCCGAGGAUGGAAGCAGAGAGACGGAUUUGGCCGAGCGCACAGCAGCUCGCCAAAGACGGCGUCGAAGCAGCAGUGACCGCGGUCGAGUGAGGGAGUCAUCCUGGAUUCGCGGUUUAUCGACUCGGCACGGGGGCAACCAUGGCGUUGAAGGUAGGCAACAUGAGGAGCCAUCGAUUGACACCGGUCUUCGGAAUCGGCGGAUCUCGACGAUGGUGACAAGGAGGAGGCCACGAAGCGUCGUCGAGCAGAGCGCGACAAGCAAAUCGAGUCGGCCACGAGCGUGGAUUUGGAUCUGACCCCCAAGUUUUUGUAUGGAUCCUAUUCCCCAAUUUGUAGAUCUUCAAUUUCCUUACUUUAAUUUUCCAUAGCACAAACGAUGUUUGCAUGCACGAUUCGGACAAUCUUGACUUGUUCGUCCACGGUUGGAGUUUAGGGUUGGAAUGUGUAAAACACGUGAUAAACUGUGUACAACUCGAGAACUAGAUAAUUCAUUUUGGAUUGUAAUAUGUGUACCUCAUGCUAUAGUUUUGGUUAAAUCUGACGUGAAUCUGUUUGGAAUUGAAAAACAAGUGCUUCCUUUUAUACACCACUAUGUCGCUUCAAUGUUUGCGAACCAAGGUAAAGAAAUGUAAAAUCUUACAAUUUCCGUGCAUCCGACAUAAAUCUGUGGUCACAUAGCUAUUGUUAAACGGUUGCAAAUCCUAAGGAGGACCAUUAUUGUGCAACAACUACAUAUGGUAGAAGCGCUUGUUUUGAUGUGUGCACAUUUUGUUGCUAAAAGGAUCACGAUGCCCAAGAGGGGGGUGAAUUGGGCUUUUCUAAAAAUCAACACUAAUUAAAACCUAAGCAAGAGCCCAACUUCACCCCGACAACUAGCAAUAAGAGAAUAUGAAAGGGAAAUAGGAUCAAACCUUUUCCUAAAUGAUUUUGGUGGUUGAAUUGCCCAACACAAAUAAUUGGACUAACUAGUUUGCUCUAGAUCAUACAUUCUACAGGUGCCAAAGGUUCAACACAAACCAAUCAAAAGAACAAGUUAGGCUUCAAAAGAAAGGAGCAAAAAGGAAACCGAAGUGUGCCUGGUCUGGCGCACCGGGCUGUCCGGUGUGCCACCAGACAGUGUCCGGUGCACCAGGGUGAAUCAGCUCAAGCUCCUCAACUUCGGGUUUCCCAGACGCAGCUCCACUAUAAUUCAUUGGACUGUCCGGUGCACCCGCAGAGCAACGGCUACUUGCGCGCAACGGUCGACUCUGCAAAGUGAACAGUGCAAUUCAGAAGUCAGAGCAGAUGGUCAGAGGGGCACCGGAUUGUCCGGUGUAGCACCGGACUGUCCGGUGCCGCAUGAGGACAAAGCCUCCAACGGUCGACCAGCUCCAAGCCCUAACUACAAGAUGACGUGGCGGCGCACCGGACACUGUCCGGUGGUGCACCGGACUGUUCGGUGCGCCCAUCGCCAGUAGCCUUCUCCAACGGCUACAAUUUGGUUGGUGGCUAUAAAUACCACCCCAACCGGCCACUUUAAGGUGUGGGAGCCCAAGCAACAUUCCAAGUCAUAUAGUUGACAUAUUCAAGCCAUCCCAACCACCUCUAUUCAUUGACCCAUCCUAUACACAAGAUUUAGACCACUACUAACCACAAUAGUGCCACAAAAUAGAAAGCAAGCAAAGAAGAGCCUCUUGUGAGAGUUUAGCUCUAGUGCAUUGUGAGAUUGAUUGAGUGAAAGUGUGUGCUACAUCUUGCGUUCAUUUGUGCGUGGAGUUUUGACUCCCAUUGAACUUCCUCCAAAGUUUUGGAGGCUUGUAAAGCUAGCAAGAGACACCUAAGUGUGUGGUGAUCCUUGCGGGGUCUUAAGUGAUCCUUGAGAAGAAGAAGAGCUCACCGAUCUUGGGGAUCGGUUGAGAGAGGGAAAGGGUUGAAAGAGACCCAUCCUUAGUGGACUCCUCAACGGGGACUAGGCUUCGAGGGUCGAACCUUGGUAAAACAAAUCACCCAUGUCUUGUGUGCUUAUUGCUUGUGAUUUGUUUGUUCUUUCCCUUUCUAAGUUUUUCUUGCACUAUUCUUUGCUAAUACUAUUUGGUGUUGCUUUAAGUUAAAUUCUCAUUUAGUGAAGCAACACUUUGCAAGAAAGAACUUGUGUUAUUGCUCUUCUUAUCUAAGCCUUCUUGAUUUAUUCUCUUAGACUUAUUAGUAGUAUUGAUUCAUCAAUUCCACAUUAUUUGAAAGCAAUACUCCUUACAAGCGAAGGACUUAGUUUUUAUACUCCGAUAAUCGUGAAUCUUGUUCUAACCACUAAUUAAGGGAUCUAGUUGGGGUGUAAAGUUUUAAUUUUCAGGUUUCGCCUAUCCACCCCCCCUCUCUAGGCGACUUUCAGUUGGUAUCAAAGCAAGACACUUCAUAUUGAGUCUAACAACUCGAAGUGAUGGCUCGUAGAAGAUCCCAAAAGAAUAAGAAGACAACUCCAAAGGAGAACAAGGAGGUAACUCUUGAGAUAUUACUUUCCGAUUGUUCUAAUUAUGAUUCAUGGUCUACUAGAGUGAUAAAUGCUUUUAGAACCGUAGAUCCACAAUUAGAACAAAUUUUAGACAAGAGUAUUAUUCAUCCUAGUUAUGAUAGGAAAAAUGCUUCCGAGGAAGAUCAAAGAUGUAUACGCUUAAACUAUCUAGCUUAUGACAUCUUAAGUAAUUCUCUUAACAAUGAAGAUUAUCGUGCCUUCAUAUCAAAUUAUAAUGAAUCUAUUCGUGAUGCGCAUGAUAUUUGGACUAGAAUUAAAGUCAAAUUUGAUGAGUCCAAACAUGAUAGUUCAUUUUGUGCUUCUACUUCCUUUGGUCUUUGUGAUACUAACCCUUGCAAGGAAGAAGUAGAAAAUGACCAAUGGAGACCAAACGAUGAAUCCACCUCUCCAAGAGGUUUGUCUUCCCACUUCGAUUCCCACAUAUGUUGUGUGGCUAAUGAAAAUGAUAGUGGAAGCACAAACGAGGAUGAGGAGGAAGAAAGAAGCUUCAUGCAACUCUACGCUCGCCUAAGCCAAGAAUAUAAGGCGGUCAUGCUAAAACUUCUAGAAAGAGCGAGAGAGCAAAGCGAAGCUCGUCAAAGGCUAGAAAAUGUUCUCUCCAUGAAAAUGCUACACUUUGACGAGUUGACUAAAGAACAUGAGGAGCUAAAGUGCUCUCAUGUUGAUUUGGUCCAAAGGUAUGAAACUAUUUCAAUUGAGCAAGAUAACACUUUACAUUGUAUCGCUCAAUUAGUAAAUAGGAAUGCCUUGCUUAAGGACCAAGUAGAAAAGCUAAAAUAUGAAAAUCUAGCUUUUCAAGAAAAAUAUGAUAUGCUCCUAUGUUCUCAUGAAAAUAUUAUGGAUGAUCAUAUCAUAUUAAAUAUUGCUCAUGAGGUUGUGAUAGAAAACUUAAAAUCCCAACAACCUCACUCAUGCACAUGUAUUCAAAUUGAAACUACAUUACCAUGUGCUAAUGCUUGUUGUCCGUCGACAAGCAAAUCUUCCUUUGAGCUAGAAUUUGCAGGAACAAAUGAUGAUACAUAUCAAAAGCUCAAAGAAGAAAAUGAGAGGCUAAAAAUGAGCUUGACACAACUAAAAGGGAAGUGCAUUGCUCAACCUUCUCAAGAUAAUCGUGAUCACAUGGUGAAGAAGCUUGAGACGGGAACAACCGUGGCAUGCACUAAAUCCCUUGAAGUAAAUGUAAAGGACUUGAGGAUUGCCAAGAGGAGAGAACAAAAGAAGAAAAUCAAUACCUCUUCCAAAAGCCUCAACCAUGCCUCCAUAAAAGGUAACAUCCAAGGUAAUAAUCAAGUCACACUUCACACUAAGAGAAGUAAGAAGUGUAGUGAAUGCUUUGAAAAGGGGCACUCGAUUAGGACAUGUCCCUAUAUUAAAAAUGACUUGAUUAUUAACAAGGAUGAUAAACUUUGUUUUAAAUGCUCCAAGAAGGGACACUUGUUUAGGUCUUGUCCCCAUUUAAAACAAAAAGGCAUAGUGUUAGAAAAGAAAAUAUUCACUAACCAUGUAGCAAGAAAGAAAUAAGGAAAGAAGAAAUCUUCAAGACUUGAGGAUCGCCUAUGCUACAUAUGCCGAAAGAAGGGACAUCAAUGCAAGGAUUGUCCCAUUGGUAACAAUCCCACUCCUAGCUUGUCAAUUAAUUCUCUUGUAACUAGGCAACCCAAAAUUGCAACUUGUGCUAGAAAGGUAAUGAGUUUACCUAGUGCUAGCAUAAAGGACAUUUGGGUUCCUAGAUCCUUGUUGACUAACCUUGAUGGACCCAUCAAGAGAUGGGUACCAAAAUAUGCUUGACAAGCCUUGCAGGAGAAGGCGAUGGUAUGAAACUUUGGGGUGCUUGAGAGAGUUAAUUCAAUUUUUCUUAACUCAAACUAUCAAUCUUCAAUGAUCUAUAUCCAAGAUUGACCCAAAGUUAUUUUGAGUUGUUAUAUCUAAAACUCAUAUCAUCUUAGGGAAGAUAUUGAUAUUGUAGGAAAUAAAGAAUUAAUCCUAUGCCGAAAAGUCAAGGCCUACAACAUGGAGGAAAGCCAAAGGAUGGUAACAAUUAUGCUUUUAAGUGCAAGUAUCUUAAAUUAUCAUUUCUUGUGUGUCUUGUGUAGUCACAUAGAAAGCACUUCAAAUGUCUUUAAAUUAUGUCACCAUUCUUUAAAGAAAUUCCUCUCAUAUGGUAGAUUGCAUAUUCAUCAUUUCUAUACUUUGGCAAUAUACAUGCUUUUAGUAAUUGUAAAGUAACUCAUGGCAUGCUUUACACUAUUUAUCCUAUCAUUGCCAUGUUCUAGAUAUAGAGAGAUAUUCCAUGUUCUUAAAAGAAUAAGGUGUCAUGUAAGGAAUUCAAAUCCUUAGGACACUUAUAAAAGGAAAAAUCUCUCUAUAACUAGAAGAGUGAGACUAAUGCUUUUAUCUAAAUAACCCAAGUAGUCUCACUUAUAGAGAAUAAGUUUCUCUUUGGAGAUGCGUAAUCUAACAUGAAAAGAAAAGUCAAUCCAAUGAUUUAUGUUGUUUUGCCUCUUGCUUAAAUUGAAUAUGAUUGUUCUAUAUUUAUCGCUCUCCAUGUUAUGAAUUAGAUUUAUUCUCAUAAUCCUAAAGAAUUAUCUAUGCUUGUUUUGUAAGCAAAAUUAAGCAUACAUCAUGGAAUAACCUAGUUCAUAUUAUAAAGUUUCCAUGCUUUAGUAAUAUAUUUUCCAUUCCUUAUCAAAAUGAUUACACAAAGGGAAACUAGUGCUUGUAUUACUAAUGACAUAUCUCUUGAGCUUUCUUAUGAAAAUCUACAAGAGAGUAAGAGCAAGCCGCAAGCCUCAAGGGUUACUCUUCACCCAAAGGAAGAAAGGUAAACGUAAAGGUAUGGGAAUUCAUCUUCUUAAUCAAAUAUAGUUCCCAUCAAUGGUUAUUUACUCUAAAUUCUACCUAUGUGAAGAAUAGAUUCUUUAUUGGACUUAAGUCAGCUAGAUGUGCAUUCAAUCUCAUUCUCAUAAAUGCACUUGUCCAUUAGAAUCUAAUUCAUGCCUUUGCUAUAUCUAUUCUCAUAUUGAUUUGCUUUUAAGUCAUGAUAAUAAUUUCAAUAUGAAGAAGUAAAAUUCCUAUGAUUGAUCAAGAUAUUUAAAAGGUGCUUAUUCCUCUUUUCUAAUAAUGUGCACUAAUGUUAAGGAUUUUACUUCAUGUCUGUGUGACUUGUGAAUGAUAAAUUGUUUAUACUCCUUAUCUAAAAGAAAUCAUUCUUCAUCAUAUACUCACUUGUACUAUUAACAUCUCUCUUGAGUAUUUUCAAUAAGUUUGGAAGGAAAAAGAGUCAACUAUAAAGGGAGGACACUCAAAUGAAAAAGGAAGACAUCAAGAGCAACAACACCUACUUGGAUAAUGAGAUCUUCAAAAUAAUCAAUGGUGUGGUUGUAAGCAUUCUAAAUCUUUUUCAUUGUGAGAAUACUAGGCAUAAAAUGUUUAUUGCAAAUUUUGUAAGCCUCGAUCAAGAUGAAUAAUGAUUCUCCCUAUUUGUUUUAAAAGUAAGUACAUCUAUCCAAUUCAUUCAAUUUCUUGAUGCAUAUCUUUAGGGGGAGCAUAUUUCUAAAUCUUAAUUAUAUUGAGACUAACACUUUAUCUUAGUAAUCUCAUAUAGUCUCAAGUAUAAGAAUAAGUUUCUCAUGAAGUAUGCUACUACAUGUCAAUUCAUCUUGGUAAAGUAAUAUCACCUUUAUCAAGGAUUGUAGCUUUCAUUGUUAAAGUAGCAUAUUUACUGGAUUCUCCCAUGUUAAGCUUGUUUAAUGAUCCAAUGCCUAUGUUGUUCUUUUGAUCGCAUCUGUUGUGUGUUUGAUCAUUGAAUAAACUUCAAUUAACACUUAUGCUUCUUAGUGCCUCAUGUAAUUUCAAUCAAUAUCUCUCUUGAUAUGCACUAAGUUAAAAGGAGAAUUCAUGAUACAUCUAUGCAAUUUGUGAUCUAUUUGAUAUAUGCUAACAAUGACUUAGAAAAGGAUCACUAGUUGUAGAACUCUUUCUUGUGAAAAAUAUUUCCAUAUAUUGUCUUAAGUAUAGGUCUUAAGCAUCUAAGACUAAGGACAACGCACAAUGAAGAGAGUGUCUCUAUGUGAAGGUACAAAAGGGUAAAACAACUUCCUUUCAUUCUAACUUGUACCUAAAUCUUCCUUUUUCCAUACUUUCUUUGCAUAUCUUGUAUAAAAAGGAAGAGAAAGCAUGUUCAUGCAUUACCCCUGCUUCAUAUCUAGUUUAACUACUCAAACAUUCAUUCUUGCAUCUUUGUUAAAGCUGGGUGAAGUGAUUUUAUUGUCAAAGAGCUUAAAGCUUAACCUUCUAACGACGAUAAGCUGCCUUUGUUCCAAAGGUGGAUGGUCCUUAAUCCUCUUUGAAAUCCUUAAGGGAAAAUGCUUAAGUUGUCUAUAACAUGCUUUCAUUAGUGCAUAAACUGUCAUGAGCAUUACACUUAUACUAUGACACAAUGAACUACACAUUCUCUAUGAUAUAGAUAUGACCUCAUUAACCUAACUAUAUGCACUUGGCAUUUAAAGGCCAAAAUUCGUAUUCCUCUCCCGACACAUAUUUAGGGGGAGCAAUCUAUAUUAUAUAGAAUUGUUUAAGCUUAAUUGACAUAUCUUUUUAAUCAUGUCUCUUUCCUUUGGUACAUUUGCAUAUUUCCUAUCACUAUUGUGCUAAGGCUAAGACUAAUAUGUUUCCAUGAGCAUCUUGUGUAUUAAGUCUUAGAUUGAAAGGGAAAUGGAGUAUUCGGCAAAGAUAUCGCUUCCACUCUACAUCUUCGGUAUUAUCCUUCCUUGUCGGUAUUCCGCCAGCUCUCCAAUUUGGUAUAAUCUUCACUCAUAUAUUGUUUGCCAAAAGGGAGAGAACGUAAAAAUGGCUUAUAUUUCACUCACAAGUAUCCGUUUUUGGCGAUUCAUGCCAAUGGGGGAGAAAGUAUUAGCCCCAAAGCAAAAGGACCGCACCACCACCAAUUUCAAAAAUUGUAGUCUUUCAAUUUGUAUUAAGAGAAGUUUUUCAAUUGAUAUCUUAAUUUUGAUAUAAUUUCAAAAUUGGUAUGACCCCUUUCAAAAUUAAUCUCUAAAACCCUCUUGAACACUAAGAGGAGAAUUUCAUUGAGGGGGAGUUUUGUUUAGUCAAAGGAAAAGCAUUUGAAACAGGGGGAGAAAAUUUCAAAUCUUGAAAAUGCUUCUCGAAAUCUUAUUCAUUUAUCUUUGACUAUUUGCAAAAAGACUUUGAAAAAGAAUUUACAAAAGAAUUUGCAAAAUCAAAACAAGUGGUGCAAGUGUGGUCCAAAAUGUUAAAUAUAAAGAAAGCAUCCAUGCAUAUCUUAUGAAAUGUAUAUUGGUUUAAUUCCAAGUAAUCUUUGCACUUACCUUAUGCAAACUAGUUCAAUUCUGCACUUAUAUAGUUGCUUUGGUUUGUGUUGGCAUCAAUCACCAAAAAGGGGGAGAUUGAAAGGGAAAUAGGAUCAAACCUUUUCCUAAAUGAUUUUGGUGGUUGAAUUGCCCAACACAAAUAAUUGGACUAACUAGUUUGCUCUAGAUCAUACAUUCUACAGGUGCCAAAGGUUCAACACAAACCAAUCAAAAG